AUUGAACGCUGGCGGCAGGCCUAACACAUGCAAGUCGAACGAGUGGCGUCCGGGAGAUAUAUGCCUGGGCACAGGCCUGAGGGAGGUGGAUACCCACUGGAAACUGUAGCUACCACCGCAUACCACCGCCUGUGCCCGGAUGGGAAUAGCUAGUAGGUGGGGUAACGGCUCACCAAGGCGACGAUCCCUAGCUGGUCUGAGAGGAUGACCAGCCACACUGGAACUGAGACACGGUCCAGACUCCUACGGGAGGCAGCAGUGGGGAAUAUUGCACAAUGGGCGCAAGCCUGAUGCAGCCAUGCCGCGUGUAUGAAGAAGGCCUUCGGGUUGUAAAGUACUUUCAGCGGGGAGGCGUUACCCGCAGAAGAAGCACCGGCUAACUCCGUGCCAGCAGCCGCGGUAAUAC
rnacentral:rRNA from 1 species